UACGUAGGGUGCGAGCGUUAAUCGGAAUUACUGGGCGUAAAGCGUGCGCAGGCGGUGAUGUAAGACAGGUGUGAAAUCCCCGGGCUCAACCUGGGAAUGGCGGUGGAAACUGGCGAGCUAGAGUGUGGCAGAGGGGGGUGGAAUUCCACGUGUAGCAGUGAAAUGCGUAGAGAUGUGGAGGAACACCGAUGGCGAAGGCAGCCCCCUGGGCUAACACUGACGCUCAGGCACGAAAGUGUGGGGAUCAAACAGG
rnacentral:rRNA from 1 species